rnacentral:rRNA from 1 species
GACGAACGCUGGCGGCGUGCCUAAUACAUGCAAGUUGAGCGCUGAAGGUUGGUACUUGUACCGACUGGAUGAGCAGCGAACGGGGGAGUAACGCGUGGGGAAUCUGCCUUUGAGCGGGGGACAACAUUUGGAAACGAAUGCUAAUACCGCAUAAAAACUUUAAACACAAGUUUUAAGUUUGAAAGAUGCAAUUGCAUCACUCAAAGAUGAUCCCGCGUUGUAUUAGCUAGUUGGUGGGGUAAAGGCUCACCAAGGCGAUGAUACAUAGCCGACCUGAGAGGAUGAUCAGCCACACUGGAACUGAGACACGGCCCAAACUCCUACGGGAGGCAGCAGUGGGGAAUCUUGCACAAUGGGCGAAAGCCUGACGCAGCCACGCCGCGUGGAUGAAGAAGGUCUUCGGGUUGUAAAAUUCUUUUGGCGGGGAGGAAGGUAGUAGAGAGAAUACAGUUCCUCAUUUACGGUACCCGCAGAAGAAGCACCGGCUAACUCCGGG